rnacentral:rRNA from 1 species
GACGAACGCUGGCGGCGUGCCUAAUACAUGCAAGUCGAGCGAAGUUUUUCUGGUGCUUGCACUAGAAAAACUUAGCGGCGAACGGGUGAGUAACACGUAAAGAACCUGCCUCAUAGACUGGGACAACUAUUGGAAACGAUAGCUAAUACCGGAUAACAGUAUUUCUCGCAUGAGAGAUAUUUAAAAGUUGGUUAUGCUAACACUAUGAGAUGGCUUUGCGGUGCAUUAGCUAGUUGGUGGGGUAAAGGCCCACCAAGGCGACGAUGCAUAGCCGACCUGAGAGGGUGAUCGGCCACACUGGGACUGAGACACGGCCCAGACUCCUACGGGAGGCAGCAGUAGGGAAUCUUCCGCAAUGGGCGAAAGCCUGACGGAGCAACGCCGCGUGAGUGAAGAAGGAUUUCGGUUCGUAAAGCUCUGUUGUUAGGGAAGAAUGGAUAUGUAGUAACUAUACAUAUAAGAGACGGUACCUAACCAGAAAGCCACGGCUAACUACGUGCCAGCAGCCGCGGUAAUACGUAGGUGGCAAGCGUUGCCCGGAAUUAUUGGGCGUAAAGCGCGCGCAGGUGGUUUAAUAAGUCUGAUGUGAAAGCCCACGGCUCAACCGUGGAGGGUCAUUGGAAACUGUUAAACUUGAGUGCAGGAGAGAAAAGUGGAAUUCCUAGUGUAGCGGUGAAAUGCGUAGAGAUUAGGAGGAACACCAGUGGCGAAGGCGGCUUUUUGGCCUGUAACUGACACUGAGGCGCGAAAGCGUGUGGAGCAAACAGG